rnacentral:lncRNA from 1 species
CGAUCAUAAAACAUUAACCAGAGUACUGAGACCAGACCCAAUUCAUAGCAAAAGCAUCACACGACGACGACGACGACCAACAGAAUCCAACGACGGGGAAGGGGAAGGGGGAGGGGAAAUAAACUGAGGGAAGCGGCUCAGGCAAGCCAAGCAAGCUAGCGCUCCAAAUUUAACAAUCCAGAUCCAUCGGCAAAACUAAGACCAAUAACUCCGACGGCCGGCCGGCUUUAAGAGGAGAGGUAUUUAGGCGGAGAUCUAUAUGGAGAUGGGGGAUAUAAUCGGGAGAUCGGGUGGUUGGUUGAACGAACUAACGAUCGAUCUCUCACUUGGUGCAGUCGCGGGCCAUGUGGCCGGGCUCGCCGCAGUUGUAGCAGUUGCCGCCGCCACCGCCGCCCCCACCGCCGAACCUCCCGCCGCCGCCACCGCCGCCGAAGCCGCCGUUGGUGGGGCAGUCCCUGGCGAGAUGUCCAGGCUCGCCGCAGUUGUAGCAGUUGCCGCCGCCGCCGCCGCCACCGCCGCUGCGGAAGCCGCCGCCGUUGGUGGGGCAGUCCCUGGCGAGAUGUCCAGGCUCGCCGCAGUUGUAGCAGGCAC